rnacentral:rRNA from 1 species
CCUACGGGAGGCAGCAGUGGGGAAUAUUGGGCAAUGGAGGCAACUCUGACCCAGCAACGCCGCGUGAAUGAUGAAGGUCUUCGGAUUGUAAAGUUCUGUGAUGGGGGAUGAACACAAUGACGGUACCCCAAUAGCAAGCCACGGCUAACUACGGGCCAGCAGCCGCGGUAAUACGUAGGUGGCAAGCGUUAUCCGGAAUGACUGGGCGUAAAGGGUGCGUAGGUGGUUUAGUAAGUUGGCGGUGGAAUUCCGGGGCUCAACCUCGGCGCUACCGCCAAAACUAUUAGACUAGAGUGCAGGGGGGGUAAGUGGAAUUCCUAGUGUAGCGGUGGAAUGCGUAGAUAUUAGGAGGAACACCAGGGGCGAAGGCGACUUACUGGACUGUAACUGACACUGAGGCACGAAAGCGUGGGGAGCAAACAGGAUUAGAUACCCCAGUAGUC